rnacentral:rRNA from 1 species
AGUCGAGCGGUAGCACAGAGAGCUUGCUCUCGGGUGACGAGCGGCGGACGGGUGAGUAAUGUCUGGGAAACUGCCUGAUGGAGGGGGAUAACUACUGGAAACGGUAGCUAAUACCGCAUAACGUCGCAAGACCAAAGUGGGGGACCUUCGGGCCUCAUGCCAUCAGAUGUGCCCAGAUGGGAUUAGCUGGUAGGUGGGGUAACGGCUCACCUAGGCGACGAUCCCUAGCUGGUCUGAGAGGAUGACCAGCCACACUGGAACUGAGACACGGUCCAGACUCCUACGGGAGGCAGCAGUGGGGAAUAUUGCACAAUGGGCGCAAGCCUGAUGCAGCCAUGCCGCGUGUGUGAAGAAGGCCUUCGGGUUGUAAAGCACUUUCAGCGGGGAGGAAGGCGGUGAGGUUAAUAACCUCAUCGAUUGACGUUACCCGCAGAAGAAGCACCGGCUAACUCCGUGCCAGCAGCCGCGGUAAUACGGAGGGUGCAAGCGUUAAUCGGAAUUACUGGGCGUAAAGCGCACGCAGGCGGUCUGUCAAGUCGGAUGUGAAAUCCCCGGGCUCAACCUGGGAACUGCAUUCGAAACUGGCAGGCUAGAGUCUUGUAGAGGGGGGUAGAAUUCCAGGUGUAGCGGUGAAAUGCGUAGAGAUCUGGAGGAAUACCGGUGGCGAAGGCGGCCCCCUGGACAAAGACUGACGCUCAGGUGCGAAAGCGUGGGGAGCAAACAGGAUUAGAUACCCUGGUAGUCCACGCUGUAAACGAUGUCGAUUUGGAGGUUGUGCCCUUGAGGCGUGGCUUCCGGAGCUAACGCGUUAAAUCGACCGCCUGGGGAGUACGGCCGCAAGGUUAAAACUCAAAUGAAUUGACGGGGGCCCGCACAAGCGGUGGAGCAUGUGGUUUAAUUCGAUGCAACGCGAAGAACCUUACCUGGUCUUGACAUCCACAGAACUUUCCAGAGAUGGAUUGGUGCCUUCGGGAACUGUGAGACAGGUGCUGCAUGGCUGUCGUCAGCUCGUGUUGUGAAAUGUUGGGUUAAGUCCCGCAACGAGCGCAACCCUUAUCCUUUGUUGCCAGCGGUUAGGCCGGGAACUCAAAGGAGACUGCCAGUGAUAAACUGGAGGAAGGUGGGGAUGACGUCAAGUCAUCAUGGCCCUUACGACCAGGGCUACACACGUGCUACAAUGGCAUAUACAAAGAGAAGCGACCUCGCGAGAGCAAGCGGACCUCAUAAAGUAUGUCGUAGUCCGGAUUGGAGUCUGCAACUCGACUCCAUGAAGUCGGAAUCGCUAGUAAUCGUAGAUCAGAAUGCUACGGUGAAUACGUUCCCGGGCCUUGUACACACCGCCCGUCACACCAUGGGAGUGGGUUGCAAAAGAAGUAGGUAGCUUAACCUUCGGGAGGGCGCU